rnacentral:rRNA from 1 species
UACGUAGGGUGCGAGCGUUAAUCGGAAUUACUGGGCGUAAAGCGCACGUAGGCGGACUAUUAAGUCAGGGGUGAAAUCCCGGGGCUCAACCCCGGAACUGCCUUUGAUACUGGUAGUCUCGAGUCCGGAAGAGGUGAGUGGAAUUCCGAGUGUAGUGGUGAAAUGCGUAGAGAUCGGCAGGAACACCCAGGGGGAAACCAGCCGACUGGGCAUCUGCUGACGCUGAGGUGCGAGAGCGUGGGGAGCGAACCGG